AUUUUUUAAGGAUUAGCAAAAUUUUUCUACAGAUAAAUAUUUGCCUUUUUUAUUUUUGUUUCUACGUAGUACAAACUUCUCCAAUUACCACUGGUGAUUGGGUCUCUAAAUAUUAAAUAAAAUGUCUUUCUAACACUUGUAAACUGUGUUUUCUAGCUAAAGAGAGGCACAGAAGAGGCAGUGACUGCAUGAUUCUUUGGGGUCAGGGUUGUGGUCCUGUGGGCACCCAGCCCUUAGGUUCACAGAAGGCUGGUGAACCGUCGAUUCAUGAAGCACUGCCAGAAACGGCCUUCGUCCGGACCCAGGGCAAGUUCAGCCAGCACGAGGGAACUGCCCAGGCCGGGGGACUAGUCAGAUGCACAAAUUCCUGCCUUUGUCAGAAUCCUAGAGUCCUAGGAAUCUGGGAAUUAUUCUCGACACCUCCCCUCUCCCUCGCUCCUGUAUCCAACCAAUUACCAACAUCUCUCAACUGGUUUCGCGUCCUGAAUGCCUCUCCAAUCUGUCCACUCCUCUCUGACGCUACCGCCUCUGUCUUAGGCCAAACUGGCUUGAUUAUUACAAAAUCUAUCCAAGCGGGCUACAUCCAUCCACUUUUGCCCCCUUCCAAUCAGGUCCUUACACUAUGGGCAGGUGGAUUAAAACAGCAAGCCUAUCCCUGAGCUGCCCUUCCUCUCCUUAACAGAUUCUGGUGGCUUCCCUUUGGCUCUUAGAUGGAAGAUCUAAAUCCACACCAUGGCCUAGAGGCCAGGAACGAGCUGGCCUGGGCUCAGCUCUCCAGUCUCCUCCUACACCUCACGUCACUGUUUCAUUCUCUCUACUAAUCUGACCUCUCCAGGGCUCCUCACAGUCGGGAGAUUUGGAGGCAUGAAAGAUCUGGGUACCUGAAUUUUCCCCAAAGCUGCUUACUGGUUCUGAACCGCUAUGAUGGUUGAAAGCAACUAGACUGAAGAUGGAGACAAUUUGAAACCUGCAUCCUAGGCUUCUUAUGAUAAGCUUGUACCUGUCAGCAUCGGGGUUUCACUCAGGCUUACCAAGCAGGCCAGGAAAAUUCCCAAAGUGGCAAGUUGCUGGGCAGACUUUCUUGAAGAGCAGGCGCUAUUUCUGCGCCCCCAAAAGCAUUUAAAGAGUGAAUUACACGCAACCCACUGCCUAAGUGCUUUUUUACUUUCUGGAAAAUCUAAACCUAGCUAAAAUAUGCAAUUAUGAGGCUGAGGAUGCAUUCACAAAUCUUAGAUGAAGUAGAUGGUUCCUCCGUAACCAAAAAUUCAGCUAGGAACGUCUUUCUCGGGAGGAACAGAACUUCGUGUGUGUGGACUCUGUUUAACCCUGUUCGAACAGAGCUUGUUAAGUGGACUUGGAUGUGCGAUGGGUCCAAUCGUGUCCAGAAACUAGAUGCCUAGGAGGAUCUUGCUUGUCUCUUCCAGUUCCAUGGUAGAAAGAUUGCAGUGUGCUGUCGAGUUCACUUCUCUGCAGAGAUCUCAUGAAUUGCAUUUUGAAAGCAGGAUUGAUUGUAUUUGUCCCUGCUAUUUAUAGCGCAUGCUGAGGCCUCAGCCAGCUGUGGGAGGACACGGCUAUGCCAAGAUUCCCAUCCCAGUUGUGUGUGACAGUAUCCGGCACCCUUGCAACGCCUGCCAUCACUACCUGGAGAGCAAGCACAGAGGGAAAUAAAUCAACUGUUAAUGUCAGGAUAUCACACCCUUGCUAACACUUUUUGGAUAUGAUUGAGGCAGUAACUGUAUAAUUAGCCUUGAUCUUAUCGCUCUGUAGUCAGAUGACUACUUUACCACAAGGUACUAUCACACAAAAGGAUUUAUUUCAUUUAGAAAAAGAGCUUUGCAGUUUAGACAAAAAUAUCUUCUUAAAAAAUGAUGACUUUAUGUAAGUAAUAUAUGCAAAAGCUCCCAAAGUCAAAAUGUUCGAAAGAACAUACAGUGAAAAAUACAUCCAGUUCCUACACCUGUAGGAGUUCGGGUCCCCUCCCUGCAGCAAACAUCGUAGCCAGGUUUUUAUUUAUCUGCCCAGAGAAACCGUAUGCAUUUACAAACACACACACACACAUACAUACACGCGUGUAAUGUUGUACACUUUGCUUUUGUUCACAGUUUAAGCUGAUUGCUCCCCAUCAGCACAUAGGGACAGGCCUCAUGUGUUAACAGCUGUGUUCCGUGCAAUAACUUCUUGACUGCCCGGUGAACCUUUCUCUACCAUGAAGACCUUUUGUGGCUUCUCAGUGCUCAGAACGAGGAGUUGGAAAACCAGAAGAGCAGAGGAGAUGCUGAGAAAGACAAGACUGCUAGCAGGUGUUCCAAGCACAGAGAGCGCAUUUGAAGGCUACUGCUUGGCUUUUGCUUAUGUGUGAACUGGGGGCCAGUUGUCUUACAAGAAUGGUAAAUAAAGGCAAGGAGUUUUUAACCAA
ensembl:lncRNA